rnacentral:rRNA from 1 species
UAUGGUUCCUUAGAUCGCACUUACUACUUGGAUAACUGUGGUAAUUCUAGAGCUAAUACAUGCGCAGAGCCCCAACCCUCGUGGAAGGGGCGCUUUUAUUAGAUCAAAGCCAAUCGAGUUUCGGCUCGUUUCUUUGGUGACUCUGAAUAACUUUGCUGAUCGCAUGGUCUUGUACCGGCGACGUAUCUUUCAAGUGUCUGCCUUAUCAACUUUCGAUGGUACGUUAUGCGCCUACCAUGGUUGUAACGGGUAACGGGGAAUUAGGGCUCGAUUCCGGAGAGGGAGCCUGAGAAACGGCUACCACA